rnacentral:rRNA from 1 species
UACGAAGGGGGCUAGCGUUGCUCGGAAUCACUGGGCGUAAAGCGCACGUAGGCGGCUUCUUAAGUCAGGGGUGAAAUCCUGGAGCUCAACUCCAGAACUAGCCUUUGAUACUGAGAAGCUUGAGUCCGGGAGAGGUGAGUGGAACUGCGAGUGUAGAGGUGAAAUUCGUAGAGUAUUCGCAAGAACACCAGUGGCGAAGGCGGACUCACUGGCCCGGUAC